rnacentral:rRNA from 1 species
AGCGAACGCUGGCGGCGUGCCUAACACAUGCAAGUCGAGCGAGAAAGGGGUGGCAACACCCUGAGUAAAGCGGCGAACGGGUGAGUAACGCGUGGGCAAUCUACCUUCCAGUCUGGGAUAACCUUCCGAAAGGGGGCGUAAUACUGGAUGAUGUCCUGUUGGGGCGAUCCUGAGGGGAGGCAAAGGGGGACGGACCCGCGAAGGGGCGUCUCGCUGGAGGAGGAGCCUGCGUCCGAUUAGCUAGUUGGUGGGGUAACGGCUCACCAAGGCGACGAUCGGUAGCCGGCCUGAGAGGGUGACCGG